rnacentral:rRNA from 1 species
AGGGCGCUUACCACUUUGUGAUUCAUGACUGGGGUGAAGUCGUAACAAGGUAACCGUAGGGGAACCUGCGGUUGGAUCACCUCCUUACCUGAAAGA